AGAGCGAACGCUGGCGGCAGGCCUAACACAUGCAAGUCGAACGGACCCUUCGGGGUUAGUGGCGGACGGGUGAGUAACACGUGGGAACGUGCCUUUUGGUUCGGAAUAGCUCCUGGAAACGGGUGGUAAUGCCGAAUGUGCCCUUCGGGGGAAAGAUUUAUCGCCAUUAGAGCGGCCCGCGUCUGAUUAGCUAGUUGGUGAGGUAAUGGCUCACCAAGGCGACGAUCAGUAGCUGGUCUGAGAGGAUGACCAGCCACAUUGGGACUGAGACACGGCCCAAACUCCUACGGGAGGCAGCAGUGGGGAAUCUUGCGCAAUGGGCGAAAGCCUGACGCAGCCAUGCCGCGUGAAUGAUGAAGGUCUUAGGAUUGUAAAAUUCUUUACACCGGGACGAUAAUGACGGUACCGGAGAAGAACGCCCGGCUAACUUCGUGCCAGCAGCCGC
rnacentral:rRNA from 1 species